rnacentral:rRNA from 1 species
AAUGAACGCUGGCGGCAUGCCUAACACAUGCAAGUCGAACGAAACCUCCGGGUCUUUUGGCGCACGGGUUCGUCACGCGUGGGAUCCUGCCCUUAGGUUCGGCAUAACUCUCCGACAGGGGUGCCAAUACCGGAUAAUGUCUACUGCCCAAUGAUUUAUCGACUUUGGUGGGUCACGCGUUGGAUUAGCUGGUGGGUAGGGUAAAAGCUUACCAAGGCGCGGAUCCAUAGCUGGUUAGAGAGGAUGGUUAGCCACACUGGGACGGGGACGCGGCCGAGACUCCUACGGGAGGCAGCAGUGGCGAAUGUUGGACAAUGGGCGGAGGCCUGAUCCAGCAAUGCCGCGUGAGUGAUGAAGGCCUUAGGGUUGUAAAGCGCUUUUACCCGGGAUGAUAAUGACAGUACCGGGAGAAUAAGCCCCGGCUAACUCCGUG